UGAGGAAUAUUGCACAAUGGGCGCAAGCCUGAUGCAGCAACGCCGCGUGAGGGACGAAGGCAUUCGGGUCGUAAACCUCUUUUCUGGGGGACGAGUAAGGACGGUACCCCAGGAAUAAGUCUCGGCUAACUACGUGCCAGCAGCCGCGGUAAAACGUAGGAGGCGAGCGUUAUCCGGAUUUACUGGGCGUAAAGCGUACGCAGGUGGCUUCGUUAGUCGGACAUGAAAGCUCCUGGCUUAACUGGGAGAGGUUGUUCGAUACUGCGGGGCUUGAGGUUGGGAGAGGGACGUGGAAUUCCCGGUGUAGUGGUGGAAUGCGUAGAUAUCGGGAGGAACACCAGCGGCGCAAGCGGCGUCCUGGCCCACACCUGACGCUGAGGUACGAAAGCGUGGGUAGCAAACAG
rnacentral:rRNA from 1 species